GACGAACGCUGGCGGCGUGCUUAACACAUGCAAGUCGAACGGAAAGGCCCUGCUUUUGUGGGUUGCUCGAGUGCCGAACGGGUGUGUAUCACGCGAGUAACCUGCCCUUGACUUUGGGAUAACUUCAGGAAACUGGGGCUAAUACCGGAUAGGAGAUUCUGCUGCAUGUUGGGCGUUGGAAAGUUUCGGCGGUUGGGGCUCGACUCGCGGCUUAUCAGCUGGUUGGUCGGGUAGUGGCUUACCAAGGGUAUGACGGGUAGCCGACAUGAGAGGGGAACCGGCGACCAUGGGACUGAGAGACGGCCCAGAAGGCUACGGGACGCAGCGGUGGGAAAUAUUGCACAAUGGGCGGAAGUCUGAUGCGGCAACGCCGCGUGCGGGAUGACGUCCUUCGGGUUGUAAACCGCUUUCGCCGGUGACGAAGCGUGAGUGACGGUAAUGGGUAAAGAAGCACCGGCUAACUACGUG
rnacentral:rRNA from 1 species